rnacentral:misc_RNA from 1 species
AUCGAAAUAAUUACUCAUUCCUACAUUUACCUUGCAGCAAAAAUUCGUGAUUUUUUGUGGGCAGCAGAAGAAAAUUGUGCAAAUUAAAACGGCAACGAAAGAAAAGUGUAAAAAAUUAUUUUAGGAAUUUGUGUGCGGUUGCAAGACGGGACCAUAAGGCGGUUGGAGAAAAAAAUACGUUAAAAAUGGCGUUGAAAGUGCUGGUUGGGCAGAAGAUUAUGAACGAGGUGGUGAAAUAUAAGCCACCUCCACCAAAGAAGGCUGGCGCUGUGGCUGCUGCCAAGGCACCAGGUGGCAUGGAAUGGCGUGUGUUGGUCGUCGAUAAGUUGGGUAUGCGUAUGGUGUCCGCCUGCACCAAGAUGCAUGAAAUAAGCGCUGAGGGUAUAACCUUGGUGGAGGAUAUCAAUAAAAAGCGUGAACCGCUGCCUACGAUGGAUGCCAUCUACUUGAUAACACCAUCGGAUGAAUCGGUGCGUGCUUUGAUACGCGAUUUCGAGAAUCCGGCUAGGCCGAUGUAUCGUUAUGCACAUGUUUUCUUCACCGAGGCAAUACCUGAAGACAUAUUCCAAAUGUUGCAAUUGCGCAGCGAUAUAACGCGUAAAUAUAUACGCACAUGCAAAGAAAUAAAUAUUGCAUUUAUUGCCUAUGAGGACAAGGUCUACUCGCUCGAUUCACCAGACACCUUUCAGUGUCUGUAUUCGCCAGCGUUUGCUUCGAUACGCGCCAAGCACAUCGAUCGCAUCGCCGAGCAAAUCGCGACUUUGUGUGCCACACUCGGCGAGUAUCCGAUGGUGCGAUAUCGCACUGACUGGGAUCGCAACAUAGAUUUGGCUGCUGCGGUGCAGCAGAAGUUGGAUGCCUAUAAGGCGGAUGAGCCGACAAUGGGUGAAGGUCCGGAGAAGUCACGUUCGCAGUUAUUGGUAUUGGAUCGUGGAUUCGAUUGUGUAUCGCCGUUAUUGCACGAAUUGACAUUGCAAGCGAUGGCAUACGAUCUCUUGCCGAUUGUUAACGAUGUAUAUCGCUAUACGCCCGGCCCAAAUCAACCGGAAAAGGAGGUUUUGCUCGAUGAAAACGACGAUUUGUGGAUGGAGUUGCGACACGAGCAUAUCGCUGUGGUGUCCACGCAGGUGACACAGAAUCUAAAGAAAUUCACCGAAUCGAAGCGCAUGACAUCGACUGAUAAAUCUUCUAUGCGUGAUUUAUCGCAAAUGAUCAAGAAAAUGCCCCAGUACCAGAAGGAGCUGUCAAAGUAUUCGACACAUUUGCAUUUGGCUGAGGAUUGCAUGAAGACUUAUCAGAGCUACGCCGAUAAGUUAUGCCGCGUUGAACAGGAUCUGGCUAUGGGUACUGAUGCUGAGGGCGAAAAAAUCAAGGAUCAUAUGCGUAAUAUUGUACCCAUACUUCUUAAUGCGGAUGUUUCCAACUUCGAUAAAGUGCGCAUUAUUGCGCUCUACGUUAUGAUUAAGAACGGUAUUUCUGAGGAAAAUUUGACAAAGCUCUUCACGCACGCCUCACUAUCGCCUAAAGAUCAGGAUAUGGUGCGCAAUUUGAGCUUUUUGGGCGUAAAUGUGAUUGCUGAUUCUCGCAAGAAAGUCUAUAAUGUCCCACGUAAGGAACGCAUCACCGAACACACUUAUCAGAUGUCGCGUUGGACCCCUGUAGUCAAGGAUAUUAUGGAGGAUUGCAUUGAAGAUAAAUUGGAUCAGCGUCAUUUCGCUUUUCUGGCUGGACGUGCACAGAAUACCAAUUAUCAUGCACCAACAAGCGCUCGCUAUGGCCACUGGCAUAAGGACAAGGCCCAAGCCCAAGUCAAGAAUGUGCCACGCCUCAUAGUUUUCAUUGUGGGCGGCGUUAGUAUGUCCGAGAUGCGUUGCGCCUACGAGGUAACCAAUGCCGUGAAGAAUUGGGAAGUGCUAGUCGGCUCGUCACAUAUACUAACACCCGAAGGUUUUCUCAGCGAUCUGGGCAGCCUUUCGAAGGAGGACUAAUCCGCAGCUAACGCGACGAACGAUAAUGUAACAGAUCGUACCGAAUAAUAUGAAGGUACCGAGCAGGCGCGUAUAUUUUGUAUAUGUAUUGCUGUAUACUAGUUAUUAAUUUUCGAUAACGUCGUUGGGAUUGUUUGUUCUUUUGAUGACGAUGCAAUUAAACUAUUAUUGUUCAUAUAUUAAAUAUACAUAUAUGUAUAAAAAUUAUUGAUAAGAAAUAUUACAACUUGUCCUUAGGUUAGCUGUGCGCUAAGGUGUUUAUGUAUGUUUAUAUAAAUUAUUCAAUGAAAAAAGUUGAUUCUUGAAGAACUUACUUCCGCUUAUUAUCUACAACCUAUAUAAAAAUUAUACACAAAUAUAUAAUUGAUUGCUUAAUAUAUAUUAUAAACGAUAUGACUACAUAGUGUAGGCGUGACGAUAAAUUCCAAAGUAUUCUCGUUGGUUAUGUGCAAAUAAGCGAGCCGCUAGUAGGUUACGCAUUUAUCGAAGCAAAAGAAAGUAUAAAGUAUUUACAUAUGUCGCAUAUUUAUAAAAAAAAAAACUAUUUAAUUAAAUUAUAAAUUGCAAUUUAACUUAAAUAUUAUUGUAUUUGGCUUUAUUAACUAUUAUUACUUACAACAUUUGAACUAUUUAUGCGCUUUUAAAAUAUACUUAAAAGCAAGGAACUAAGCAUUAUACUCUAUGCAACUAAAAAGAAGUAUGAAAUACAAAAAAAUUACAAAAAAUAUCAAAACACCGAUUUUUAAUUCGCAAACUUGAAAAGGAUAUUCAUAAAAAGAGAAAAGUAAUACAUUCAAAUAAAAAAUAAGUGGUUGAAUAAGGUGCAGACAAAAGGUCGCAUUCACAAAGCAUACAUACUUUGAAUAAAUAAUUUAAUUAAAAAAAUAAUACAUAUUAAGCAAAUUAACAUUUAAAAUAAUUGCAACCUUGAUUUAAAAAAAAAUAACCAUGAUAAUAAAAAAAUAUUAAAAAUAUUUCCGUAUGUAUUUAAUAACUUAAAUUGAGUGUUUAGAAUGAAAACACAAAUUGGUUUAUUUCCAACGUAAUACAAUAUUACAAAAACAAUAAAAAUUAUUAUUAUUAGCAAAACAUAGAAAUAGAAAGUAAUACAAAUGCAACCAUGUCACUGUAAGUGGCUUAUAUUAUAACCCAGUAUGUAUCGUACGUAAUAAAGUGGUUCUAUAUGACGCGCGUGUUGUGUUUAAGGCUUUCGUGAAAUUUGCAAAAUCCUGCAAUAAAGUACAUAUGCGCAGCUCAACUACACAACAUAGUAGGUAAAAAAAAUCAAUCAUUAAAUAAAAAUUAAACAAUCCAAUACUAUUGCAAUUAAUGUAAUACUUAAUGAAAACGAAACUUUGCUACAAUUUCUAAUAUUUUCGACCACUUCAAAAAUUAUGUACCUAUGAAAAAAUCAAACAACAAAAAAUUUAGAAUGCUAUUUCACAAAAUCUAAAUAAAAAUCUUUAAUAAACUGAAAUUCAUAUGAACCAUAAGCGUUAACAUAUCUUGGCUAGCAAAGCUUCAAAAUUUGGCAAAGCAUUAAGCAAAUUGUGAUAUAUUGUGGAACGAUUUGGGUUUGGGGACAAACCGAACGAAAAAUGUCACUGAAGAUGGCGCAAUGCCAUAACCGGUUUGGAGACAAAGGAUGAUGGAGAAUCGUUCCGCAAUAUGUUCAUACGUUCAUCUACUCCUACCCCGUCGGGAACACCAACAAUCAAAACGAUAACAUUAGUUUUGCUUAAUGUUAUUUCUGAAGUCUUGAUUGAUAGUUCUUUUUUUUAAUAAAAAUUCUUGUGUUCGGCUGGCGUUAUUUUUUUUUUAACUCGCGAUGUUUUUUGUCGGCACAUAAAGCACAAUUCAAUAUCUAAAAUUUCGUUUGUUUCUUAAUUCCAACUUUGCUUUCGACUCGGCAAGUGUUAUUUUUUAAUUCGCUCCUUUUUUUCGGCGCGAUAAACAAGAAUGUUUUAUUGAAAUCUCUUCUGCUUUAUCUUGUUUUUUUUUUAACGCCUUAUUCAUAAAAAUAAAAUAGAUUUAAAAAGCUCUAUAAAGUACCAGUUUCAAACAAAAUUUCGAUUUAUAAAGCAGUCUUCUUUAUUUUUUAUGAAUAUGGGUGUUAAUUUGCAUUUCGUUAGUUUGGCUCGCGAGAAGCUUUGCUGGCAUAAGUUAAUUAGCUCCUUCAUACUUCCAAUAAAACCGUUCAAACUUAAAACUGUAAGCAUCUACUACAAUUAAUACAUUUGUGCAUAUCGUUACCUUAAUAUAGAAAGGCCCAAUCUCUCAUUUUUGUUUCUUCAAACAUAGUUUGAAAAUUUCGUGAAAAGCAAAGUUCUACAGUUGCGAAUUUCGUCGAAGUGCUGGUUUUUUUAUUCAUUAUAUUAUUUAUAUUUGUCUUCAAUUUCUAUUAGAUAUAUUGUGAGCUAUUUGACAGAUUUUGUAUAAAUCUGUUUCGAAAUGAAAAUGGGUUAGGGCGUUUCUACAUAUAUUAUGGGAAUGAUAUGUAGGUAGUAUGUGUAUCAUAUCGACAUACAUACUUACAUAAAACUACCUUAUGUACAGAAAGACAUCUUAAUACAAUCUAUGACGACUAUUCAUCGCACCACAUAUACCUGUGUGAUAUGUACUUCCAAAACUAAACAUACUCGUACACCUCUACAUACUUACUUUAAAAUAAUUUAUAAUACUUAUACUAAAUAAAAUCAGAUACUAACUAAAAGGAACGUACUAAGUAGUUAAGCUUUUUUCGAGUAGUUAAAAAAAAAAUUCAAUUCUUGCAAUAACGGGAGAGCGCAGUUAAAAUGAUGACAAAGCAAAAUAAACAAAAAAUGUUCGAGUGUUUUAGAUGCAAUACAGUAUUUUACAAUUUACAUAAAUAUAGUAAAUAACGUGAAAUGAAUAACGAAUGUUCAACAUCAAGUAAUCAGUAACAAUUUCAAUUCUUUAUAUAUAUUAUAUAUAAAAACUAGUUAAAUUAAAAAAUGUAGAUAAUAAGUAUGGAAAUUAUAAAAUAUACAUAAAAUAUAUUAUAAAUAAAAAAAAACGAAUAAAAAAAUGCAUACGCAUAAAACAACACUCCACUCGUUCGAAACCAACACCGAUUGCCAAUGCGAACACUCACUCGCUCACGCACCACACACUACACGCUGUCGGCAUGGGUGCUAUCAACGAACGAACCAACCAACCAACCAUCCAGAGGCAAAUGUCAACUGCCUACAACGAAUACUGCAAUUUGUCUUAUUUGCAAAACAACAACAACAUCUGCAAAUGUGAUGAGGAUCACUAGACAAAUUGCAGUGUUACACCUGUGACAGCAGCGCCUAGCUGUGUGCAUGUGUGUGUACGCUUAGUGGCGGGCGGUAUAGUGUAGGCGAAAAGUGGCGAGUGUUUAGCGCGUAUGCGGCAAUUUUCCAUGUAUUUUAGAUGUUAAAGGAGUACAAGAAGAAGAAGAAAAUUAAUUGUUUAUUGCUUGUUAUAAAACAACCACCUUAAAUUAAAUAGCAGUAUAGUACAUAACGGUACUAGAAUCAAAAUAAACGAACAAUUGUGUGAAUUACAAAA